rnacentral:rRNA from 1 species
UACGGGGGGGGCAAGCGUUGUUCGGAAUUACUGGGCGUAAAGGGCUCGUAGGUGGCCAACUAAGUCAGACGUGAAAUCCCUCGGCUUAACCGGGGAACUGCGUCUGAUACUGGAUGGCUUGAGUUUGGGAGAGGGAUGCGGAAUUCCAGGUGUAGCGGUGAAAUGCGUAGAUAUCUGGAGGAACACCGGUGGUGAAGGCGGCAUCCUGGACCAACACUGACGCUGAGGAGCGAAAGCCAGGGGAGCAAACGGG